UGCAAAGGUGAAAUUUAAAGGAAUUGACGGAAAGGCACCACCAGGAGUGGAGCCUGCGGCUCAAUUUGACUCAACACGGGAAAACUUACCAGGCCCGGGAUCAACAUAGUGAGGAUUGACAGAUUAAAGUUCUUUCUUGAUUCUAUGAAUAGUAGUGCAUGGCCGUUCUUAGUAGGUGAAGUGAUUUGUCUGGUUAAUUCCGAUAACGUACGAGACCCCAGCCAUCUAACUAGCCGUCGCUAGCCUGCUAGCGCUUUGCCUAUCUGCCCUGCCCUUCUUUAUAACAGUUUAUACUAUUUAAAAUGUUUUAUCGAGGGGCUUGGUGGUGGCCAAGUUCGGCUUCUUAGAGGGACUAACUGUUUUCAGCAGUGGGAAGUGUGGGGCAAUAACAGGUCAGUGAUGCUCUUAUAAGGUCUGGGCUGCACGCGUGCUACAAUGGUGCAUCCAGCGAGUUCAACCUUCCCUGAAAGGGGUGGGUAACCUUUAAUGUGCGCCAAAGUGGGGAUAGACGAUUGUAAUUAUUCGUCUUGAACUAGGAACUCCUAGUAAACGCAAGUCAUCAUCUUGCAUUGAUUACGUCCCUGCCCUUUGUACACACCGCCCGUCGCUCCUACCGAUCGAAUAAUGCGGUGAACUGGGUGGAGGCAGGCUGCUUCUUCGUGUGUGAGCCUGCCGAAGCCCCGUGAACCUUGUUAUUUA
rnacentral:rRNA from 1 species